ensembl:lncRNA
AAAACAAUAAAAGACCUGAAAUAUUUCAGUUGGUGUGCAAUGAAUCUAAAAUAUAUGAAAGUUUAAUUUUUAUCAUUACAUUAUGGAAAAUAAUUAACUUUUUCACAAUAUGCUAAUUUUUUGAGAAGGACCUGUAUAUAUGAAUUUAUUUUUACGUGCACCCCUAGUUUUCUCUUCCUCUUCUCUAAAGCAGCACAGCAUGGCCUCGCCCCCUUCGUUACAUGUUCCCGGGGGCGGGGUUUGUCUGAGUCUGUGAUGUAUCGGACCCGGGAAUUUGUAGUCCCUUACCAGUCCCUUUUUUCAGGCAUUAAAUUGCCAGAAUUUUAAAAGAUCUAAAAUAUCUCUGUUUGCACUGAACUUUCAGCACUGCAACUUUGCAGCUAUUGUUUAUGCUCAAACAGCAACAUUGCGCACUAACUAACAAUAAAAAAGUGAAAUCGCAAUCAACCACCCCUUUAAUUUGCCUACUUCCAAUGCAAAAUGUUUGGUGGUUCUAGGGAACUCCCUCAUUUUGUCAGGAACAUGCCUCAUAUGUCUCCUUUACAUUGUUUCCAACCAACCUAGAAUUUGGGUUCUUCUGCCAGUGCGAGGAACCUCAAAUGGUUCCUCAAAUCUCUUUUUAUUUUUACAGCACAAUUCUGCAAGAGCUUCCAGAUGAUGUCUACAAAUGUUUUUCUAAGCUGCAGUGACCUGAAACAUAGCCUUGCCCUAAUGCAAAAGCGCUAAACUUCCUGCAUAACGCGCUGUGGUUACAUAAAGGCAGGCAGCAGCUGAGCUUACGUUGAGUGGUAUCGUGCCCUGAAGUGACACCGUGCUCAAGGGGCGGAUGGGAGGAGACGGCGGCGUAGGCUGGCCGGUGUUCGGUUUCACCAGCUCACACGUGACCGCAAUGGCUGCUUGUCUGUUCCGUGCAGUGCAUCAUUCCUCUACCGCCCAGCGAAUGUAGGCUACAGCAGUUUGCUCGCUUCGCUGAACUGUCAGUGCGGGCACUUACCACCCGCAGAAGCGAAAUUCCUCUACGCGUUCAGCAGAACAGCUUACCGGCUGAGAAGAACCACAUUCGGGAGAGAAAUUAAAGCGUCUCGGGGUUCAACGUCCACCAACCAACACAGCAGUAGGAGGAGUCAACAGAUAGACAAGUCUUUUCAUGAAAUUAAAGAUUCUGAAUUGUCGGUCAAACUUCUUUAGAAAGAUCCAUGUUGGCAAAUAAACAAUGAGGGAUGCUGUUGGGUGUCA